UAAAAGCAUAGCUAACACAGCUUUUUAAUAGGCUUUCUCACACAAUGAAGAAGAUCAAGAAGGAUGAAUAAUCAUGGGUCUUGCUAUGAGUUGAACCCUGAGGAUGUGAUACAAAGCAAGAGGCUGGAGUGAAUGGCUGCUUCCCCACAUAGAAGGAGUUAAACCCUACUGUUUGAGGAUUAUGUGCAGAAGCAGUAUUUCAGGAUCACAUCAGUAAAGGACAUCAAGCGCCUUCGAUAGGAACUACAUGGAUACCAAAUGUUUAAAUCCCAGUAACUACUCCUCGUAGCCCCACAUAGGAGCUGCUCUGGGUGAGUCAGUACAUACCUCACAUAGAAAUCCCUCCUCAGUCCAUAAACUGGUUCAAAAAUCUGCUGUUUUGUCAGGAGUCUGAUCUGGAUGGGGAUCUGGAGAGAAAAUAAAGGAAAAGAAAAUCCCAGAAACUUCAGGGGCAACCUUUUGGGGACUGCAAAGUCUACAGGACAAGGUAAAUGCAGAGUGCAAUCAAGUGCAAACAGUGUGGAGUACAAGGCAGCAAAGAACCACACCUUGAAACAGCAUGAUUUAUUGAGUACUUGGCAUUAAAGGUAAAUGAAAGUGGAACUUGCUACAGCAAAUCAUAACCCAUAAACUGCUGUUGUUGCAGCUAUAGUGAAGGCAACGACUGUAUGCCUAAACUGCAUGCAGGAAGGAAGUCAAGGCCUGUGAAUGCACAAAUAUUCCCCUAUGGAUUCUGAAUUUUAUUGGUGUUUAUUUUACUGUCAGUUUUUCAGCGGUUGCCAGUCCUAGGAAACUUAUCACUUGUAUGCUUAUAUAGUGGAUACCUUGACAAGGCUGCAGAAGCAGCAGGGAAUCCUGAGCAUAGGUCUUGGGCAGAAACACUAAGGACAGCCAGACCAAACACACAGCCAUAAACAGAAGCUGUGAAACACCCAGAUGCAAGGAAUAAUGAGACAUUUGCUGAAGAGCUGCUAUGUUUGGCCUUUUUUUCUUUUUUGUAGGGGAAGGGCCCUUCCUUACCACCUGUUGCAGAAGCUCUUCAAUGAAGACACAAUGAAACUAAGUAGAUAAAUCUCAAUCAAAAUAAGUGAUAGGUAGAAAACUGUGAAAGGUGAAAUUAAAGCCUAAAGUCUAAUUAUGUACAUAGCUGAUGGGUAAAUUCUUUCCCACAUGUAUAGGCAGAUUAACAUGAAAGGAGGGAACAGCCAAGAGGAUCAAGGGAACCUACAAAGGCCUUUCCUCUCUUUUUAAACACUACAGUGUAGUGCAUAGUCUCCCAGCUGUGUGGCCUGGCCCUCAUUAA
rnacentral:lncRNA from 1 species